CCUACGGGGGGCUGCAGUGGGGAAUAUUGGACAAUGGGGGGAACCCUGAUCCAGCCAUGCCGCGUGUGUGAAGAAGGCCCUCGGGUUGUAAAGCACUUUCAGUGAGGAAGAACGCCUGGUGGUUAAUACCCAUCAGGAAAGACAUCACUCACAGAAGAAGCACCGGCUAACUCCGUGCCAGCAGCCGCGGUAAUACGGAGGGUGCGAGCGUUAAUCGGAAUUACUGGGCGUAAAGCGCGCGUAGGUGGCUUGAUAAGCCGGUUGUGAAAGCCCCGGGCUCAACCUGGGAACGGCAUCCGGAACUGUCAAGCUAGAGUGCAGGAGAGGAAGGUAGAAUUCCCGGUGUAGCGGUGAAAUGCGUAGAGAUCGGGAGGAAUACCAGUGGCGAAGGCGGCCUUCUGGACUGACACUGACGCUGAGGUGCGAAAGCGUGGGUAGCAAACAGGAUUAGAUACCCUAGUAGUC
rnacentral:rRNA from 1 species